UACAGAGGUGGCAAGCGUUGUUCGGAAUUACUGGGCGUAAAGCGCGUGUAGGCGGCUUUGCAAGUCGGGUGUGAAAGCCCUCGGCUCAACCGAGGAAGUGCGCCCGAAACUGCAGAGCUUGAGUGCCGGAGAGGAUGGCGGAAUUCCCCAAGUAGAGGUGAAAUUCGUAGAUAUGGGGAGGAACACCGGUGGCGAAGGCGGCCAUCUGGACGGUCACUGACGCUGAGACGCGAAAGCGUGGGGAGCAAACAGG
rnacentral:rRNA from 1 species